GACGAAGGGGCUAGCGUUGUUCGGAAUUACUGGGCGUAAAGCGUAUGCAGGCGGAUCGUUAAGUCGGGGUGAAAUCCCUCGGCUUAACCGAGGAACUGCCUGUCAGACUGGAAGGCUUGAGACCGGGAGAGGUGAGUGGAAUUCCCGAGUGUAGCGGUGAAAUGCGUAGAUAUUGGGAGGAACACCAGUGGCGAAGGCGGACUCACUGGACCGGAACUGACGCUGAGGCGCGAAAGCGUGGGGAGCAAACAGG
rnacentral:rRNA from 1 species